CCUACGGGGUGCAGCAGUGGGGAAUAUUGCACAAUGGGGGAAACCCUGAUGCAGCGACGCCGCGUGAGUGAAGAAGCGUUUCGGCGCGUAAAGCUCUGUCAGCGGGGAAGAAACACGGUUCGCGAGAGCCGCGGACGGUACCCGACCAAGAAGCCCCGGCUAACUACGUGCCAGCAGCCGCGGUAAUACGUAGGGGGCAAGCGUUAUCCGGAUUUAUUGGGUUUAAAGGGUGCGUAGGCUGUGAGGUAAGUCAGCGGUGAAAUGCCCCCGCUCAACGGGGUGAAGUGCCAUUGAUACUGCCUUGCUGGAAUGCGGAUGCCGUGGGAGGAAUGUGUGGUGUAGCGGUGAAAUGCAUAGAUAUCACACAGAACACCGAUUGCGAAGGCAUCUCACGAAUCCGCGAUUGACGCUGAUGCACGAAAGCGUGGGUAUCAAACAGGAUUAGAUACCCGUGUAGUC
rnacentral:rRNA from 1 species